UGGUUCCACGUGGCAAGGUUUGGGAGGCUUCUGAGAACCUGGCCUAAUGAUUCCUGUUUCCUCCCUUUUCAGUCAUCAUCCGUUUGCAGCCUCUCUUUGGUAGCCCAUGCCCCUGGAGGGUCCUUGUUUUCAGGCAAGAAGAUAUCUCAGCUCAUCAUGUACAUUUCUGCCCCAGCCCUAGAAUCAGACAUUUCUCCAAGGAGUCCUGGUUCCUUUCAGUGGGAAAUGUUCUUAGAGACAUUAUAAUCUGGACACUAACGAUGUCUGUGGAAUUUUUACAAGAUCGCCUUGGCUUCUCUGUGCAUGAUGAACUGGAGGGACAAGACCAGGCCAGAGAGACAGGUCAAGAGACUUUCGCAGUGGCCCAAGUGAGAUA
rnacentral:lncRNA from 1 species